ACGAGGAGACUUGAAUGAUUUUCAGUACGGGGUAUCGUUGACCACGUCGACUCUGUUUGCGACGUUGCAACAAUAUAGACACGAGUCUGCGCGCGCAGCUAAGAAAUUAAAAACAUUUUUAAAUUUUUCUAAAUUUUCUAACAGAAAUAAUCUUACAGCGAUAUGAUUUAAAAUAUCACGAGGUCUAAUACGACAAAGACGUGAGUGUGCGCACUUACGAUAAGUUGUUCAGACAUGUGAUAACUUGCACUUACUGACUUUUUCCAGAUAAAUGACUUCCUUCACUUCCGUUAUCAAAAAUAUCAUCCUUUGCGGUGAGCGUGAUUUUUUCUAGAUAGGGAGUCAAAGAUUAAACUUUUAUCGAGCCUUUCGUUUUAUCGACAGGAAAGAAUGUCAAAAAUAUGCUUUUGUUAGAAGAAUUUUUAAGGUUUGGCUUUUAGCCUGAUUUUUUUCAAAUGUCAACUUUUGACAAGAGUAUGAUUUUUUUCUAAUCGAAGAAUAGGGAACAUUAUCUACUAUAAGAUUAAUCUACGAAACGAGGGUUUUGUCUAGCAACAAAACAGAACAGUAGAUAGGACUAACUAGAAAAAUCAGAGUCGAAAGAAGGCUGAGUUGUCGAGAUAAAUUCAUUUUCUUUUUUCUUGCUUUUGAAAUAUUUGGAAGAUGCAACGUAUAAAUGUUAAGUUUCACGAAAGCUAAGCGUUAGUUCGGCUUUCGUACUCUCCAGUUAUAAGUCGAGAGUUUUUCGUUGUACUACGACAAACGUUGUAAGUGCAAUUUUUAUUGCGAGUGAAAAAGUGAAAAUAGUGAAGUUUAAAUAGUGAAAAUGUUGCGCGACGAUAUUGUUAAAUUUUUUAUCGUGGCGUGUAAUUUUAAUAAUAAAAUAGUGAAGGGUCACUAUUUUAAGAAGGUAGCGCGUGACAAUGACGCGUCGAACUACGCAUUGUUCGACAAGUUCGCUAAGGAGUGCUCCAGCACAUUGCUGUGUGUUAUGCACAGACUGGGGCACUGUAAUGGCAACGUGACGUUGGAAAAUAUAAUUCGACGUCACGUUGAAACGCGACAACAGAAUAAAGCGUUUUUUGAAAAUGAUGCGGGGGGUCAUAUAGCUGACUUCUUGCGUCAAAGAGAAGUUGUAAGACACGUAGCCAGGGUUGAGCCGCUACCGCCUCGUCGUGCGGCACCUCUUGAGCGAAACUACGGGGCGAGACGACGACGCGCAGAAGAGGAGCUUCAAGGUGUCGUAGCAGCCCGUAAGUAACUCUACGUACAGUAAGCAUGAGACACGCGUCUCGUGGAGAAAAUUAAAUAUUCAAAGUUUUAUCAAAUAUUACAUAUAGAAAAUUUUAUAGGAAGACCGCGAAUUGAAAUCGCGGACUUAGUUGCGGAGGCACCAUCACCUCGAUACACCCCCGACGGUGAAUCAUCAGGUAAAUUUAAAAAUAUCGUGUUAUAAAGUUAUAAUAGUAGUGUAAUAAUAGUAAUAAUAAUAACAAUUGUUAUUAUAUAUUUAGAUGAUGACGACGAUACUCGAGGUAAUUUUGACAGAGUUCGAUCCUCAGCCGAUGAGGCUGUAUUUACUCCAGGUAAGUUUUAAAAAAUAGACUUGGAGAAACUAACAUAUAGUUAUUUAUCAUAAUUAAUAACAAAAAAAAUAUUAUUUAGUGUAAGCAAACGAGACGGAGGACGAAGAAGAAAGAGAGGAAAGAGCGACGCAGGAGGAGGAAGAGGAGGAAACCGAAAAAGAAGCAUUAAGAGAAGAUGAGGAGGAGGAUACAGACGAAGAUGAAGAAGAGGAGGCAGAAGAUCAAGAGGAAGAGGAAAAUGAAAUAGAAGAAGAAGAAGAAGAAGAAGAGCAGGAAGCGAUGGAAGAUGAGGAAGAAGGAGAUGAAGAGGAAUCGGAUGAAGGCGGUGAAGUGGAGGAUAAUGAAGAGGGGGCGGAAAUAGAAAAUGACGCCGAGGAAAGAGAAGUCAAAGUUGCUUCGCCAGAGUAUGAUGAUAACUAUUAUUAAUAUUAUUAUUAAAUUAUUUUAUUUCGAAGUAAUAUAAAACAAAAUUUUAGAUGAUAUACAUUAUGCCAAUACCUUACCAUGGAGGGCAUAAUUAAUAUCACUGGGCGGGGAAAUAUCGUGGGGUAACUUGUUCAAACUGGCGCUGGACUUGCUGAAGCUGUAAUUGGAAGAAACGCUAGUGGGGAAGAAUUUCUCCACAAUACUGCGGAGAAUGUAGCCGACCAAAGGCCUCAACAGCAGCAACAUCGGUCGCAGCAACCACAGUCGCAACAUUCUCAGCAACAGGAGCAAGACCCACAAUCGCAACAGCAGCAGUCGCAGCAACAACAACAUCGGGUUGAUGAUAGAUUUAAUUAUAUAGAGCUGCAGACGGAAAACGCGCGUAGAUUUAGGAAUUUUGCUAUACUCGGGAGAGAGGCGAGUUUCGCGAUACGUCCAGUGCCACAGGGUGCCGAUACCGUGCGUUGGUUAGAAAACGCAUUCCGCGAAAUCCAUGCGUACGCGAUAAGCUCAAGUGAACCGACGGAUUACGUAGGACUAUCUUUCAAUUCCGAAAGU